AUUGAACGCUGGCGGCAGGCCUAACACAUGCAAGUCGACCUUAGUGGCGAACGGGUGAGUAACACGUGGGUAACCUGCCCAUCAGAAGGGGAUAACACUUGGAAACAGGUGCUAAUACCGUAUACUGAUGGAUGGACCCCCGGUGCAUUAGCUAGUUGGUGAGGGAACGGCUCACCAAGGCCACGAUGCAUAGCCGACCUGAGAGGGUAAUCGGCCACAGUGGGACUGAGACACGGUCCAGACUCCUACGGGAGGCAGCAGUGGGGAAUAUUGGACAAUGGGCGAAAGCCUGAUCCAGCCAUGCCGCGUGGGUGAAGAAGGUCUUAGGAUUGUAAAGCACUUUAAGUUGGGAGGCGUUACCAACAGAAUAAGCACCGGCUAACUUCGUGCCAGCAGCCGCGGUAAUAC
rnacentral:rRNA from 1 species